rnacentral:lncRNA from 13 species
UCCAUUACGGGCCUACUUGUCCGGUCUGUGUGGGAUUGUAAUGCCCAGGGUUUAGUGGAGGAAGAAGUCAGGCACAGAAAACAGAGUUCAGAGUAGCGAUAUUUUUUAAUUCACCACACCGGUGAAAACGAUGCCACCCAAACAAAUGCCCAAAACACGGGGAACUAAACAGUCAAGAAACACACACACACACACACACACACACACACACACACACACACACACACACACACACACACACACACACACACACACACACACACACACACACACNNNNNNNNNNAGACAAGGAGAAGGAGAGAAGAGACAGAAGACGUGAUCAAGAGGGAUAGAAAGCAGUUGCUUCACAAGGCAGUACUAUCCAGAUCCCCACCCUGCCCACACCAUUCAGCUGAUGAUGGUGGCCAAGCUUCAGCACUUCCUGGUUUGCCUGUAGGACGCACAGCACAAACUGAGACUGGUGCUGAACGAUUGCUAUGUCUGCCCUAUCCCAGUCUCCCCUCAUCUACAGUCUCUCAGGGCUUUUGGACAGGAGGAUACAACGUUACAGACUGCACGACAGACACGGUAGGAGUAGGGAAUCACUAGUCAUUACGUUUGGGUAAGGUUAUGAACUGUGAACGCUCCAAGUCACUGAAUACACCCCUGCUCCCUCCUAUCUCCUCUACGGGCCUACAGUAUGACAUCAUGAAGGCUACCCAUGGCAACCAGCACCUCCUGACCUCAUCAGGAUGUUUAGAGGAGUGUCGGGUGGAGAUGGACUGUGCUUAGCAACCCGCCCUAGAGAGGGGAUUUGAGAAGUCCACGGCUGUUCAGAAAGUAGUACAUGUUGGUGAUGAAGAGCUGUGCCAUGAUAUGUGGUAAUAAAAUGAUCAUUUCCUGGAGCUACGCUUCUCCCCCCUCUCCUCACUUGGUCUUUAUUUGUUUUCCUUCUGUUCCCUGUUCUUCUAAAUAACCCAUUAAACUCACAGAGACACCCUCUUUAACUGUGUGUGUAAGCUGGGUUCAGAUGUGUGUGUGUGUGUGUGUAAGUUGAGCAGGGUAGCCUAUCGGUUGACCAGCUCAUCUCCCUGCAUGACUCUCUCACUCAGCCCUAACAUUCUACUUCC